rnacentral:rRNA from 1 species
UACGUAGGGUGCGAGCGUUGUCCGGAAUUAUUGGGCGUAAAGAGCUCGUAGGCGGUUUGUCGCGUCGACUGUGAAAACCUGGGGCUUAACUCUGGGCCUGCAGUCGAUACGGGCAGACUUGAGUUCGGUAGGGGAGACUGGAAUUCCUGGUGUAGCGGUGAAAUGCGCAGAUAUCAGGAGGAACACCAGUGGCGAAGGCGGCUCACUGGCCCGGUACUGACGCUGAGGUGCGAAAGCGUGGGGAGCAAACAGG